rnacentral:rRNA from 1 species
AAUGAACGUUGGCGGCAUGGAUUAGGCAUGCAAGUCGCGCGACAAGCCUCUUUUAGCUUGCUAUUUGAGGUGGAGGAGCGGCGUAAGGGAGAGUAACGGGUGGAUUAUCUACCCUCAGGUCUGGGAUAGUCACGGGAAACUGUGGGUAAUACCGGAUAAUAUCUGCGGAUCAAAGGUGUGAUUCCGCCUGGGGAUGAGUCCGCCUCCUAUUAGCUUGUUGGUGGGGUAACGGCCUACCAAGGCUACGAUGGGUACCGGGUGUGAGAGCAUGGCCCGGCUCACUGGGACUGAGACACUGCCCAGACACCUACGGGUGGCUGCAGUCGAGAAUCUUCGGCAAUGGGCGCAAGCCUGACCGAGCGAUGCCGCGUGCGGGAUGAAGGCCUUCGGGUUGUAAACCGCUGUCAGUAGGGAGGAAAUGCAUGGGGGUCAUCCUCCAUGUUUGACCUAUCUUCAGAGGAAGGACGGGCUAAGUUCGUGCCAGCCGCCGCCGUAAUAC